rnacentral:rRNA from 1 species
UUUGCGUCGAAGGUAUACCGGUAAGGAGUGCUGGAGCGAAUAGAAGUGAGCAUGCAGGCAUGAGUAGCGAUAAUUAAUGUGAGAAUCAUUAACGCCGUAAACCCAAGGUUUCCUACGCGAUGCUCGUCAUCGUAGGGUUAGUCGGGUCCUAAGUCGAGUCCGAAAGGGGUAGACGAUGGCAAAUUGGUUAAUAUUCCAAUACCAACAUUAGUGUGCGAUGGAAGGACGCUUAGGGCUAAGGGGGCUAGCGGAUGGAAGUGCUAGUCUAAGGUCGUAGGAGGUUGUACAGGCAAAUCCGUAUAACAAUACUCCGAGAACUGAAAGGCUUUUUGAAGUCUUCGGAUGGAUAGAAGAACCCCUGAUGCCGUCGAGCCAAGAAAAGUUUCUAAGUUUAGCUAAUGUUGCCCGUACCGUAAACCGACACAGGUGGGUGGGAUGAGUAUUCUAAGGCGCGUGGAAGAACUCUCUUUAAGGAACUCUGCAAAAUAGCACCGUAUCUUCGGUAUAAGGUGUGGUUAGCUUUGUAUUAGGAUUUACUCCGAAAGCAAGGAAACUUACAACAAAGAGUCCCUCCCGACUGUUUACCAAAAACACAGCACUCUGCUAACUCGUAAGAGGAUGUAUAGGGUGUGACGCCUGCCCGGUGCUCGAAGGUUAAUUGAUGGGGUUAGCAUUAGCGAAGCUCUUGAUCGAAGCCCGAGUAAACGGCGGCCGUAACUAUAACGGUCCUAAGGUAGCGAAAUUCCUUGUCGGUUAAAUACCGACCUGCAUGAAUGGCGUAACGAGAUGGGAGCUGUCUCAAAGAGGGAUCCAGUGAAAUUGUAGUGGAGGUGAAAAUUCCUCCUACCCGCGGCAAGACGGAAAGACCCCGUGGACCUUUACUACAGCUUGACACUGCUACUUGGAUAAGAAUGUGCAGGAUAGGUGGGAGGCUUUGAGUAUAUGACGCCAGUUGUAUAUGAGCCAUUGUUGAGAUACCACUCUUUCUUAUUUGGGUAGCUAACCAGCUUGAGUUAUCCUCAAGUGGGACAAUGUCUGGUGGGUAGUUUGACUGGGGCGGUCGCCUCCCAAAUAAUAACGGAGGCUUACAAAGGUUGGCUCAGAACGGUUGGAAAUCGUUCGUAGAGUAUAAAGGUAUAAGCCAGCUUAACUGCAAGACAUACAAGUCAAGCAGAGACGAAAGUCGGUCUUAGUGAUCCGGUGGUUCUGUGUGGAAGGGCCAUCGCUCAAAGGAUAAAAGGUACCCCGGGGAUAACAGGCUGAUCUCCCCCAAGAGCUCACAUCGACGGGGAGGUUUGGCACCUCGAUGUCGGCUCAUCGCAUCCUGGGGCUGGAGCAGGUCCCAAGGGUAUGGCUGUUCGCCAUUUAAAGCGGUACGCGAGCUGGGUUCAGAACGUCGUGAGACAGUUCGGUCCCUAUCUGCCGUGGGCGUAAGAAGAUUGAAGAGAUUUGACCCUAGUACGAGAGGACCGGGUUGAACAAACCACUGGUGUAGCUGUUGUUCUGCCAAGAGCAUCGCAGCGUAGCUAAGUUUGGAAAGGAUAAACGCUGAAAGCAUCUAAGCGUGAAGCCAACUCUAAGAUGAAUCUUCUCUAAGCUCUCUAGAAGACUACUAGUUUGAUAGGCUGGGUGUGUAAUGGAUGAAAGUCCUUUAGCUGACCAGUACUAAUAGAGCGUUUGGCUUAUCUUU